GCUGCUCGUAAUAAUCACACACCUCUCCGUGGUGAGCAGCAGGCAACGAUUUAAGAAUGUAUGGUUCGAUGAUCGGCGAAGAUGUGCGA
rnacentral:ribozyme from 2 species